GGGCCUGUAGUCUAGCUUGGUAGGAUUCGGGCUUCGGGAGUCCGUGGCGGGAGUUCAAAUCUCCCCGGGCCCA
rnacentral:tRNA from 1 species